ensembl:lncRNA
CGACACUCCUGGGAAGCCUCCAAUGCUACAAUACUACAUUUUGGUUUGCCAAACAAGUUAAAUUUCUCACAUUCCUCUUAAAACUUUAGAGCAACUGACCUAAGAAUGCAUUAAAGCAAUACUUGAGCUGUGUCUCCACCUGAAGAUCUCACAAAGCACUAACAUUCAUUAACACUCAUCUCCAGGGCCCAGCCUCUUCUUGUGCCGUGCGAGGUAAACUUCCUUCUGCCAAGAAGAUUAAGAGUUUGACAUCACACAGGAUAUAUAUAUAUGCUGGUCAUUUUACCAACCGUCAUCUUCUUACAUCUUCUACGAUGGCCUGCGGUCAACACUAACCAUUCAUCGGAAGAGAGCCGGCCCAAGGCAGUAUGUUCAGUCACCAUUCAUUGUCUGAGGACCCUGACCUCUUGUUUAAAUGCCACAAAGAAACACAUAUCCACCUCCAAGAUGCAUCCUAGAUGCACACUUACAGCACACUACACUUGUCCCAGUUUGUCUUAGUUAGGGUUCCCAUUGUUGUGGAACAGCAAAGAGACCGUGACCAAGACAACUCUUAUAAAGGAUAACAUUUAAUUGGGCUUGGCUUACAGUUAUUUUCAAGGCAGGAAGCACGGCGGCAUCCGAACAGUCAUGGCAAUGGAGGAACUGAGAGGUCUACAUCUUGUUCUGAAGUCAAAUAUAAGGAGACUGGCUCCUAUGUGACUAGGAGGACGGUAUCAAAGCCCACCCUCACCGUGAUACCCUUCCUCCAACAAGGCCACACCUACUCCAAAAAGGCCACACCUCCUAACAGUUCUGUUCCCUGGGCCAAGCAUAUUCAAACCUCCACACAGUUCAAAGUCACUCCAGUCUAAUCUACACCAGCAGAGAGUUAUUUCAUCAGUUGCCAGAUUUUGGGAUGUCUGCACUCUACCUUCCAUUCCCUACUGGCUUUCCAAAGCAAGAGAAACAGAAAUGGGUGGGAAGGGAAACAGGAGCCCAGGGUGCUGUGCGCUGGCACAUACUGAGUCUUACAAACAUAGGAGGCUUCAAAAAUGUCCUACACACUCCAACUGAGACAUGCAGAAAUUUGUUAUUUCUUUAUUUUGGUCUUUUUCCUAAGUCUCCAACUGCUCGCUAAUAGGAAAAACAUAUUGUUAAUGUUCAAGUCCGUUCAAAUCAUAAUACAGUCUAAUCAUUUAAAGAGACCAUUUGAGAAAUGCCAAGUUUCCCUUUGAAAAAUAACUGAGGCUCUGAGGAAGAUUCCCCUCCUCUGCUGCUUUUUUUGGAGAAGUCCAGGUGCAUGGGAGGAAGGGACAUGAUUGAUGCGUCUGAUGUCAAGGGGAGACACAUGCUCUCGGAUCCUACCUACACUGUGGCUCCAGAGUCCCCUGUCAUGUCAGCUGGUGGUGAAGCAUAUGAUGUGGCCCCCUGGGCUUGAUCAAGACCAGAAGGUCUCCACAGCUGACUUCACCUCACUCUGGCCUGGGCGUUUGCUAUGUUGCAGUUUCCUCACUGUGUCUCAGUUUGCCCUCUGGUUGACGUUGAUUCUUUCUUGCACUGAAGAUCGCUGCCAGGAAAUGUGAAGGACAUCCAGGAAAAUUCCAACCAGGUACUGAAACCUGCGAGGAUGCUUUCGUUUCAGUAACUUUGUGGCUACAAUGAGGGGAAAUGAGCCACUGUAACAACAUCCGGAGUCAUCCAAGCAUAUCACUCCAUGGUCAGCCUCACUGUCACACGGUCAUGACAUCAUUUUUAAAAAUAUGUUGCAGCUUAAGAGCCAAAUGAAGUUGGAAAUGAAUGUCCUGAGCGGCGGCUCACUUACGUUUGUCUCUUAACACCCUGGAAAGGUCUAUUUAUUUCUUUGCUUUUCCAUGAUCAGCUGACUUACUCCGUGGGUCAAAACCUCAUCCCCCCAAGACACAAAAAACAAGAGAAGAAGCCCUCAAAACCCACAAUUAGCAGACCAGAUGGCCUCCUGUUUGGCGGAAAUCUCCCUGAGGUGACCUCAGGUGACCUGGCCUCCAGCUGGUAGCAUGUUAGCUGUAAAUGAAUUUAAUCUGGUCCCAAGAUCUCAGGUCUUCAGUCUUGUCAGUUCUUAAAUGGGUCUAAUUAGACCAGUCUCUUCUGAUUCACAACAGGAUAUAUCCAUGCAUAUGAUUUUUCAAAUAAAGGAACGAAUAGGAGAGAAGCAGUAAUAUUGAGGCCUGUCUGAAUAAAGGAAAUUCUCCAAUUUCAACAACUGUGCCGUAAGAUGGGCACUUGGAUGAUAUCUUCUGGGAAAACUCACUGGGCAUACGUAUGUCUCUUUGUAUAUGUACACGUAUGAAUAUUCACAUGUGUAUGCGUGUUUCCAUACAUGGGUGUGGAGGAGGUCAACUUCAGGUGUCCUUCUUCAUGAGCCACCACAUGGAUUUUUAAUACAGGGUCUUUCACUCAAACAUGAGGCUGAAAGAUUAGUUUAUUGUGGCUGACCAGCAAGACCUGGAGAUCUACCUGUCUGUCCUUCCCCAGUGCCAGCGUGUACCUAGGUUUUUACACGUGUUCUACGGGUUGAACCCAGGUCUUCAUGUUAAUGUAACAAGACUAAGUUAUCUGUUGAGCCUCUAGGAGAACUCGCUUAUUCCUAGUUUCCAUAUGAGUGAUCUAUUGAUAUUGAUUCUCCCCCAUCUUUCUUUUUUCUCUGUCUCUGUCUCCGUCUCUGUCCCUACCCUGAACCCCCCCCACACACACACACACAAAUAAGAGAGAGAGAAGAUGAUGGGGGGAGGUGAAGAUGACAGACAGACAGACAGACAGACAGACAGACAGACAGACAGUUAAUGUGUGUGUGUCCCUCCUGUGUAAUUCCAUCACCGUCCACCAAACACAUUUGCAGCCCUUUCGAGAAAAUUCAGCCACAUCCCAAUGGAGUCACUACACAGAAAACACAGCUGAGAGUCAUUUUCUCCAUCUAGUUUUGAGGUGCCUCACACUACCCAUGCUGGGCACUCCCAAGGGGACGCUAGUGAUCCCCAUGAAUCAUGUGAGCAAAGGUUGCUCCAGCUGGCGGUCGGCACGGCAAACAAAGCAUCAAGUGCAGAGAUGCCCAGUCUAGGAGACAGGGCUCUCCAACUUCCAACUAGGCACUUGUGAUCGUUAAUCUUGGCUGUCAAUUUAAUUAGCUUGGGAGGUGCCUGGGACAUUAGUUAAGGAUUCCUCUGAGUGUGUCCUGGGAAGGUGUUUCCAGAGAUGAUUGGCAUGUGGGACAGCAGCUGGGGUGGGAAGAACCACCUUCAAUGUGGGUGACAUAUCCAAUAAGCUGAGGAGCUGAUAGAAG